rnacentral:lncRNA from 1 species
AUGACUGAGCGACUGAACUGAACUGAACUGAAGAGGAACGGGGUCAGCUCAGUCCUGACCCUACGGGCCUCUGCUCCAGCAACUUGGGACAGACUCUGCCCCGGGAGAGCAGGGAUGGCUCCUGAACAGAGAGAGGGGAAACCCCACUUCACACUGGCUGCAGUUCUAGACCCUCUGUCUAGCCCCACCUCCUACUAAGAUGAUAGUGGCCAGCAUAUCCUUAAGAAAGAUGUGACUUGGGUCUGCAUCAAAUCCAGCCCUCAGGCAAAGACAUGGGGCACAGGUAGUUUCCAGAGGAAUGCUCCCGUAUAAGGACACACCUUCAAGAUUGCAACAGGGAAUCCUGUUACCUAAACUCAGGAAGGUAGAUAAAGUUUGAAAGGGCCCACAUGGGGUCUCAUUGAUAAGGUGGCUUGCUAUGUUGACCUUGCAAACAAAGAAUAAAAUCACAGUGAUCUGUGAGAUUGACCAAAUUAUCCAAACGGCAUCCUGUUAUCUCACUGGCACUUAUCUUCUCAAACCUGCAAGACCACCCUCGGGCUACAUGACCACCCCUCCAGUGAAUUUUUCUUUGGCAGGGUAUAAGAAGGACUCUGUCAGAAAGGGAGAACGCUGGUUCUCCUUAAGGGCCAAUCAGCCUCUCUUUUCCCUGUAAUAAAUUUCCUUUUCUUCCCUGACUGCCUGGCUCUCUCUCUUUUUCUCUGCACUUGCCUUACAAAGUUGCGCAAAAUGAAAUGGCAGAGGAACUGCCUCAGUUGAAGAGCAAGAGAAAAACCCCUAAACCAAUAAAUAAUGAAGCAAGGAAUUCAAAGCAUUAGUUGUAAGAGUGUUAACUGAAUUAGGGAAACAGAUACAUGCACUUUCCUUUCUUUUAUCCCGACACAUCUGUCUCAAGUGUCUACUUCAUAUCUUUAUAUCACACCCACUCUUCUCUCUGGGAAUAUCUGGGCUCUGUGCUGCAGCCCCGACUGUCUCUCAUACAAGAUUCCUCACUGUUGCUGGACUCCCUCGUUCAUGUUUUACAGUAAAGUCUCUAGAACCCGAUUUUAUACCCUGUCCCNNNNNNNNNNACAUGCCUGUGGCUUACCGCUAGAUACUCCCUCUUCAUUCACUGCCCUGUUGAAGAUCAAUUCCAAACGCCUUAGUGAGCUACUGCAUUCCUUUCACUGCCUGAUCCCCAGGCAUUUCCACCCCUUUCCUUUUUCCACCCCCUAACCUUGUACUUGUAGUGAUCAAUGCAAAGAAAUAGAGGAAAACAACAGAAUGGGAAAGA